AUCCAGCUGACGAGUCCCAAAUAGCAUGAAACGCGUGUCAAACUGAAU
rfam:Schistosoma haematobium scaffold685_5, whole genome shotgun sequence.